GUAAUAAAACUGCAAUUUCCUCUACAGAGUUAGUUGCGUUUUCAUAGAAACGUUUCUUAGAAGUGGAAGUGGUUUUUCUAAAACUGAUUUGGGUAAUUCCCCAGACUCCAGGCUGUUUUGUUCUCAUACAGGAUCAGAUAAACCAGUGGCUCCAUCGACAGGAGAAUUUGGCACAUCUCCAGUGGGGGAGGGACCUUGGACCUUGUCUUCCAAUCAGAGUAUGUGAGCGGAGCUGGAGCGGAGUGAGGAGUGGUGCUGGAGCGGAGCAUGCCCAAUUUGACUGGAGCGCGGAGUGAGAUUCCCAAAGGCUGGAGUGACGUCUUUCUCUUCCGCUCCAAUAGCGCUCACUUCACGAGCUCAAGGCAUGCCUGGCCCAGCAUGCAUUUGUAGUCUACUUCUGUGCUACUAAAGCCCCUUGCUUUAGCUACGGUCAUGAAGUUCGCAAAUUAUUUUCAUAAAGAAACUGAUAAUACACACAGGUGCUAAAUCAAGGUGAUUUACAAAGAUGAGGUAUAAGGGCACUAGGCGAGUCCCAGAUGCAGACACGGGAGGCAGAUGAUUUGAGUCUUUGAUAUUUGUUAUAAUCCAAAAGGGUAGGCAAGAGAAUGGGCGUGGACAGGCAAAAGGUCAAAACCAGUUCAGAGUCCAGGAGGUACAGAGUGGCAGGCAGGCCCGAGGUCAAGGCAGGCAGAAAGGUCAUGCAGGCCGGUACAGAGUCCAGAAACAGGCAAGGGUCAAAACCGGGAGGACUAGCAAAAAGAGAAUAGAAAAAGCAGGAGCACGGGAAAAACACGCUGGUUGACUUGAACAUACAAGACGAACUUGCACAGAGACAGGAAACACCGGCAUAAAUACACCGGGGAAAAUAUGC
rnacentral:lncRNA from 1 species